rnacentral:rRNA from 1 species
UACGUAGGGUGCGAGCGUUGUCCGGAAUUACUGGGCGUAAAGAGCUCGUAGGUGGUUUGUCGCGUUGUUCGUGAAAACCUGAGGCUUAACCUUGGGCGUGCGGGCGAUACGGGCAGACUGGAGUACUGCAGGGGAGACUGGAAUUCCUGGUGUAGCGGUGAAAUGCGCAGAUAUCAGGAGGAACACCGAUGGCGAAGGCAGGUCUCUGGGCAUUAACUGACGCUGAGGAGCGAAAGCAUGGGGAGCGAACAGG